rnacentral:rRNA from 1 species
CGUAGGUGACCUGCGGAAGGAUCAUUAUUGUAUAACACGAGACAUUGAGGCUGUCGCUGACGAAAGUCGUGCACGCCUUGGUGUUCUUACAUCCAUUUCACCCUUGUGCAUCAUCGCGUGGGCCGUUCCCAUUGGGAAUGGUCUACGUUUUUAAUACAAACCCCUAUUGAUGUGUAGAAUGUGUACUUUGCGAUAACAACGCAACUAAUACAACUUUCAACAACGGAUCUCUUGGCUCUCGCAUCGAUGAAGAACGCAGCGAAAUGCGAUACGUAAUGUGAAUUGCAGAAUUCAGUGAAUCAUCGAAUCUUUGAACGCACCUUGCGCCUCUUGGUAUUCCGAGGGGCACGCCCGUUUGAGUGUCGUGAAAUUCUCAACCCUCUUGGUUUUCUUUUGAAGGCUAAGAGGGCUUGNACUUGGAGGUUCUUGCUGGCAGCACUUUGCGAUCAGCUCCUCUUAAAUGCAUUAGCGAGGUCUCUUUGCUGACCUUUGGCGUGAUAGUAUCUACGUCUUUGUGUGCUCUGCUGUA